GAAAUGCGAUAAGUAAUGUGAAUUGCAGAAUUCCGUGAAUCAUCGAAUCUUUGAACGCACAUUGCGCCCUCUGGCAUUCCGGGGGGCAUGCCUGUCCGAGCGUCAUUACGCACCCUCAAGCCCGGCUUGUGUGAUGGGCCACGGCGUCUCGUUCGCGAGACGGGCCCGAAAGGCAGCGGCGGCGUCGACCCGAUGAGCCCGAGCGUAUGGGGACUUCUGUCACACGUUCGCGGUGCGGACCGGCGCCUGCUUGACUUUUCUGAUUAUCCAGGUUGACCUCGGAUCAGGUAGGGAUACCCGCUGAACUUAAGC
rnacentral:misc_RNA from 1 species